CAGCAGCCGCGGUAAUACGAAGGUCCCGAGCGUUGUUCGGAAUCACUGGGCGUAAAGGGAGCGUAGGCGGCGUGGUAAGCCAGAUGUGAAAUCCCGGGGCUCAACCCCGGAACUGCAUCCGAUACUGCCAUGCUAGAGGAUUGGAGAGGUAGCUGGAAUUCUUGGUGUAGCAGUGAAAUGCGUGGAGAUCAAGAGGAACACUCGUGGCGAAAGCGAGCUACUGGACAAUAACUGACGCUGAGGCUCGAAGGCCAGGGUAGCGAAAGGGAUUAGAUACCCGCGUAGUCCCUGUCUCUUAUAC
rnacentral:rRNA from 1 species